AUAGGUACAUGUGAUUAAUUUAAGUUGAACUUUAAGCCUGUAUACGAUAUUUUCAAUUAAAAUGGAAUACAUGCCACUUCGAAGUGGUCUGCCACUGUCCAAUCAAUAUGAAAACAUAUAUAUAUAAAAAAAUUUUAUAAAAUUGUACGUUUCCUAGCCCACAUAGCCGGGCCAUAUAUACUGGCUGCUCCUUUGCUAUUUUCAAGCAAUCAAGCUAAGACGCAGUAAUGCCAAUCAGUAAUUGCAAGUCCUAGUUAGCACGACACCAAUUAACUGAGAAAUAGCAAAGCACUCCUCACCUCUG
rnacentral:misc_RNA from 1 species